GCAAUUUUCAGUAAGAGCCAUGUCUACUAAUCUUUGUUUCUAGUAUUCACUGAAAACAUUCAUAUCUAAAUACAGUUUUUGGUGAGUAAAACAUUUUCUAUAUAGUUUUGUUCAAAUAAGAGAUUAUGUAUUAACAUACUUGUUCAUAUUUCUCUUUUUAGAGAAAAUCUCUUCAUGAAAACAAAUUGAAAAGACUACAAGAGAAAGUAGAAGUCUUGGAGGCAAAGAAAGAAGAAUUGGAAACAGAAAAUCAGGUCUUAAAUAGACAAAAUGUUCCUUUUGAAGACUAUACGAGGCUUCAAAAAAGACUAAAAGAUAUACAGAGAAGACAUAAUGAAUUUCGAAGUCUAAUUUUGGUUCCUAACAUGCCUCCAACAGCAUCUAUCAAUCCUGUUAGCUUUCAGUCAUCAGCCAUGGUUCCAAGCAUGGAACUACCAUUUCCUCCUCAUAUGCAGGAGGAACAGCAUCAAAGGGAACUCUCUCUACUUCGCAAAAGACUAGAAGAACUGGAAACAACACAAAGAAAACAACUAGAGGAACUUGGAU
rnacentral:sRNA from 1 species